CGGCCAACUACGUGCCAGCAGCCGCGGUAAUACUUAGGGUGCAAGGGUUAAUCGGAAUUACUGGGCGUAAAGCGUGCGCAGGCGGUUUUGUAAGACAGUGGUGAAAUCCCCGGGCUCAGCCUGGGAACUGCCAUUGUGACUGCAAGGCUAGAGUGCGGCAGAGGGGGAUGGAAUUCCGCGUGUAGCAGUGAAAUGCGUAGAUCUGCGGAGGAACACCGAUGGCGAAGGCAAUCCCCUGGGCCUGCACUGACGCUCAUGCACGAAAGCGUGGGGAGCAAACAGGAUUAGAUACCCUGGUAGUCCACGCCCUAAACGAUGUCUACUGGUUGUUGGGUCUUAACUGACUCACUAACGAAGCUU
rnacentral:rRNA from 1 species